UUUGCCUUCCGCCAUGGCCUGGACAGUGUUUCUCUUCACACUCCUCAGCUAUUGCUCAGGUGUGUCUUCGCAAGCCACCUUGACUCAGCCUCCCUUACAAUCUGUAUCUCCUGGAGAAACAACUAAACUCUCCUGCGCUGUCAGCAGUGACAAAUAUCACUUUGGCUGGCUUCAACAGAGAUCUGGUCUGCCCCCUCGAUUUCUCUUCUAUGGCAGCCGCAGAGGAACUGGGGUCCCUGAUCGGUUCAGCGUUUCCGAAUCGGGCAACACUGGCUAUUUAACCAUCACUAACCUCCUGGUCGAAGAUGAGGCAGAAUAUUACUGUUACAUGUGGCCUGGUGGGGGUAGCCAGCUUCACAGUGGUGCAAAUUCACAGCCCGUCCUGACUCAGCCCCCUUCGGCAUCAGCAUCCCUCAGGAAUACGGUGAAGCUGUCCUGUACGUUGAGCAGUGCGCAUAGUAGCUAUGCUGUUGCAUGGUAUCAACAGAGGGCAGGAGAGGCUCCUCGGUUCAUAUGGUAUGGUGACAGCACCCGGGGAGAUGGGAUUCCAGAUCGAUUCACUGGCUCCAAGUCUGGCAGCAUUCGCUAUUUGACCAUUACCAACAUCCAGGCUAAAGAUGAGGCUGAUUAUUACUGUGGUGCCUGGGAUGGCAGUGGUAGCCUGUUCCCCUAUGGUAAAAGUUAA